rnacentral:misc_RNA from 1 species
UUUCCGUAGGUGAACCUGCGGAAGGAUCAUUAUUACAUAACCAAUGUACGAGCGCUUUCGCUGACCCGAAACGUUGUGCACACCCGAAUGCCAUCACCCACAUCAAUCUCAACCCUACGUGUACCACUGCUUGAGUCCACCUUUGCUUAGUUGUGAGGGGGGUUGACGUUUUCACACAGACGUUGUAUGGACUGUUGUAUGGAUUUUUUGUUUUGUGCAUCACGCAAUCGAUAUAACUUUCAACACCGUAUCCCCUGGUGCUCGCAUCGUUGAAGAACC